CCUACGUGUGGCAGCAGUGGGGGAUAUUUCACAAUGGGGGAAACCCUGAUGCUGCGACGCCGCGUGGGUGCAGAAGUAUUUCGGUAUGUAAAGCUCUAUCAGCAUGGAAGACAAAAGAAGGUACCUGACUAAGAAGCCCCGGCUAACUACGGGCCAGCAGCCGCGGUAAUACGUUGGGGGCAAGCGUUGUCCGGAGUUACUUGGUGUAAAGGGAGCGUAGACGGCAAUACAAGUCGGAAGUGAAAGACCCGGGCUCAACCUGGGAAUUGCUUAGGAAACUGUAUGGCUGGAGUACUGGAGAGGGAAGCGGAAUGCCUGGUGUAGCGGUGAAAUGCGUAGAUAUUAGGAGGAACACUAGUGGCGAAGGCGGGUUACUGGACAGUAACUGACGCUGAGGCUCGAAAGCGUGGGGAGCAAACAGGAUUAGAUACCCGAGUAGUC
rnacentral:rRNA from 1 species